GGUUAGGGCUCUGGGCUCUUGACCGGAGGGUCGUGGGUUCAAUCCCAGGUGGGGGACACUGCUGCUGUACCCUUGAGCAAGGUACUUUACCUAGAUUGCUCCAGUAAAAACCCAACUGUAUAAAUGGGGAAUUGUAUGUAAAAAUAAUGUGAUAUCUUGUAACAAUUGUAAGUCGCCCUGGAUAAUUGCGUCUGCUAAGAAAUAAAUUAUCCCUAGAGUCACUGUGUAUAACUGGACCAUGUUAUGUUUCCUAUCAAUAUAUCUAUUUUAUAAUGCAUUUUUCAAACUCCUAAAAAUGUGAUUUAAAAUGUGCGAUUGAAGGAGGUGUGCGUGAAGAUACAUUAUCGUACAGGCUGCAUGUUAUAAACCGAUACAGAAAUGUGUACGUGUAUAUAUUGCAUCGGUUUAUAACGUGCAGCCUGUGCGAUAACGUCACUGCACACACAGCCGAGUCUCACCAGCAGAGGGCAGUGUGCUGCAGUGCGUGCCGGUGCUGGCAUGCUCUCACCUGCAUUAAACUCCAAUCCAGAUGUGCGCGCAGUACCGGGAGUAUGCUCUAGGGGGCAGCAGAUCACCGCACUGCAGUCCCGGCCCAUGUUUUCCAUUGCUGUUGAUGCAGAGUGCUUGCACCGCACUAGGCAGCCCAACCAUAAAAUAAUUAGUAUUUAUAAAAUCGUUGAAUGCAUAACAUUUAUUUUAGUAUUUCUAAAUGCAAAAUUACUCAUGCAUUUUUUUUCCUGCAUCCUAAAAUGAUUCCCCCUCUGUUCCACAAUCCCAUCCCAUCCCGAGUCCGGGAAGCGGGUGUGCGUGCUGGCAGGAGGGCUCCGACACGUCCUCUUCCAGGAGCGCCGCGGCUCAGGUUUCCGUCGGCAGCGCUUGCAGAGUCAGCAUCGUCGCGGGGAGUCAGGGGCUCCGUGGCGGAGGAAGCACAGAGAGGCAGCGUUGAGCUGCUGCAGAGCCCCUUCCGAUAGGACCUCGCUUGUUUAACGUCUCAUCCGAUCUCUUUUCUGGUCUCUGAUCUGCACACAUCUGGAUCGUAAUACAAAGCCUCCUGUUCGAGCCCCAAGCCGAUGAAUUCAACUCAAUCAGACCCAAUCAGACAGACAGCUGGCAGCGCUUGGAGAAAAUCCGUCACCAGCUGCCUUUCUUCAACUGGGGGAGAGGAGGGGAGCAACGUUACUGUCAUUGGAACAGAGGGACUGAGCCAAUUCUCCUGAAGACCCCCUUGACAAUGAGAUGCGCGUCUCACGGGCUCCGUCCUGCUCAUAUUGGACUGAAGUCAUUGUGUUUUGUAUCUUGCUCUUAAUUGUGCUGUAAUUCUUGAUCUGUAUUUAUUGUAUACAACUGUGAGUCGCCC